ACGGCAGCACGGGGGCAACCUGGUGGCGAGUGGCGAACGGGUGAGUAACACAUCGGAACGUGUCUGUUGUGGGGGAUAACCACCGAAAGGUGAGCUAAUACCGCAUAAGCUGGAGACAGGAGAGCAGGGGAUCGCAAGACCUUGCGCGAUUGGAGCGGCCGAUGUCCGAUUAGCUAGUUGGUGGGGUAAAGGCCUACCAAGGCGACGAUCGGUAGCUGGUCUGAGAGGAUGAUCAGCCACACUGGGACUGAGACACGGCCCAGACUCCUACGGG
rnacentral:rRNA from 1 species